AACGAUAUCGCUCCCGCCUGUUCAGCAAAGCCCAUUUCUUCGGGCCCAAUCAGCGCAGAAUCCGGUCCACGACGACUCUUCACCCCACCCUCUCCUCCUCCAACUAGUCAGGCUGCUAGUGCUACCUUUCAAAAAACCCCUACAUCCUGCCAUACAUCCAUCCGCCGCCGCCGCCGCCGCCAUCUCCUCCCACUCUCUUCCCACUCCGACGAAACCCUAUUCAGUAUCCAUCUCUCCAUCCAUGGCGUGGCGCGGCCCCGCCACCCGGGCCGUCCUCGCCGCCGUCCGCCGCCCGGCAGCGGCCGCGCGCCUCCACGCCCCGCGCCGCCGCGUCCCGCCCGCCUUCGCCACCACCUCCUCCCCGCUCCCGUCCGCGCGGCCUCUGGCGGCGUUGAUGGGGUCCCCGGUGACGGUGGCCGCCGUGAUGGCGCGUCUCACGGCGCAUCCCGGCGCCAGCGCGCGCGCGUGCUGCGAGCUUUCCCAGGGGAGUGGGAAAGAUGGUUGAUGCUGGAGGCUGCCCAACUUGAUGGGGACCUUCCGUCCUAGAAUGAUGAUGAAACGGAAAAGAUGGGUGAUGCAAGAGAGGCCAUCGUAGAGCCUGCCAAAGGUACUUGAAUCUGUUGUGUAGAUCCCAUCCUUUCGAAAGGAUAAAUGAUGUGUCUUUUGGGGGAAUAAAAGCUAUUAUGGCAUUUCUUCCACAGCAAAGUUCGAAGAAAUUACCCAACAAUAGCUAGUUUCCUCGUUAGGAUUUCGAGAAGACUUAAUAAUUUUAACGUUACAUGGCAUGGUUUUGGUGUUUAAAACAGCUAUUGACGAAUAAUUUUAAUGUUGGUUUCACAUGAGUUAAAUGAUGUUUGCACAAGAUGUUGACAUUUUUGAAUGAAAUCAUUGGCGACUUAAUCUG